AAACUUUGAAACACUGUUGAACGAAUUUGGAAGGUGUUAAGGAAUAAACAACUGAUUUUAAAAGCUACGGUUUGGAAAAGCUACGAAGAGCAAACACAAUCAGUAUGCUUUUCAAAUUAGCUCCAGACACAAUCACCUUCCAGAACCAAGUGUACACUGCCAGAGGCACAGGGGAAGCGGGUAGCCUCUGAAACACUAACGGGUUACCAUGCUUGCUUGAUUAGUAUUUCUCCUUUUAAAGUAUGUUCUCAGCCUGAGUAUAUUUUAACGAUGUGUUUGUGUGUGUGUGUGUGUGUGUGUGUGUGUGUGUGUGUAUUGCACCACAUGCAUACUUGAUGUCUACAGAGGUCAGAAAGGCUGUUGGAUUCCCCUGGAACUGCGUUUGGAAACAGAUGUGAUCUGCGUGUGGGAGAGAAAGCCAAGCCCUGGUGCUCUGGAACCUAAAGAUGAAUGUCCCUUCCACCCAGGAAUUUCUCUCUCAGACAUCAUCUGACCUGUGUGCAAAGCUGAGCAUGAGUGACUCCAUACCUCUCAGCUAGAAUAACGGAAAGCACUUAACUUCCCAUCCUUCAGAGUCCAACUAGCUAGAUCUAUGACAGACGCACAGAGUGGCCAAUGAGCAGAAGCACUGAAGAAAACAGACACAGUCUCCUGUUUCCAAGACAGCAAAGAGAACUGCAAAGGAGAACAUACACCCACCUUUUCAAGGAUGUCUGCUUUUCGGCAGAUUGGUCCACGCCCCUCCUGUGCCCAUGAGCUUCCAGAGCUGUGAGGUCUCCCCCACCCACAUUGGGAUCCACCUGUUCCAGACUUCACUUUAUCCUUCUUUGCCUGGAUACCCUGAGGGAAGAAGUGAAAAAUGGAACAACAGAUAAGGAAACAGAAGCAGCAGCUCAGAUAACUUACUUGAGGAGGAUGCACAUUUUUGUAUGGGGAACUUAUAAACAGACACAAGCUGAGAAGGCUAGGCUGACUCCAUGACAGGCUUCAAAUUGACAGUUCAGGAGACAAGGCCUAAAUCUCUGUUUCCAAGAACUGGGUAAGUCCAGGCAAGUCCAGGCCUCAGAAGCUGCCUUGCCACCUGGCCUGAGGCAAGGACAACGAGUCAGCAGCAGUUUUUAGACUUUCUCAGCCAAAAGUUUCCAGACCUCCCCGGCAACAGUUUCUAGCUCCCACACCCCAGAAAUGGUUCUGGAAUGUCCCUAGAGAUGGAGAAAGAUAAAGGUCACCUACCCCCCGUAAUUCCUCUAAUGUGCUUUAAAUUGGGCCUGUGAGCUCACUUGGUUGUCUUUUUUUGGUAAUGGGAGACUCCAACAUGCUGGAUUUCUGCAGAAUAAAACACUCUUUGCAUGUACAUACUAA
ensembl:antisense 1810013D15Rik RIKEN cDNA 1810013D15 gene